rnacentral:rRNA from 1 species
GAUGAACGCUGGCGGCGUGCCUAAUACAUGCAAGUAGAACGCUGAAGGAAGGAGCUUGCUCUUUCCGGAUGAGUUGCGAACGGGUGAGUAACGCGUAGGUAACCUGCCUGGUAGCGGGGGAUAACUAUUGGAAACGAUAGCUAAUACCGCAUAACAGUAGAUGUUGCAUGAUAUCUACUUAAAAGGUGCAAUUGCACCACUACCAGAUGGACCUGCGUUGUAUUAGCUAGUUGGUGAGGUAACGGCUCACCAAGGCGACGAUACAUAGCCGACCUGAGAGGGUGAUCGGCCACACUGGGACUGAGACACGGCCCAGACUCCUACGGGAGGCAGCAGUAGGGAAUCUUCGGCAAUGGACGGAAGUCUGACCGAGCAACGCCGCGUGAGUGAAGAAGGUUUUCGGAUCGUAAAGCUCUGUUGUAAGAGAAGAACGAGUGUAAGAGUGGAAAGUUCACACUGUGACGGUAUCUUACCAGAAAGGGACGGCUAACUACGUG